AGCUCGNAGAUGAAUCUGUGUAUCACACUGUYGGUACACCGCUCGCCGGUGCUUUACUGACANGAUGUGGUACGUCCUACCGGUGGGCUUAGCCCCUCGGGGCGGCCCAGCUAACAUCCCUUCANGGUGCUCUUCAUCGAGUGUCGWGWUGGGCSGGUASGAUUACUUUGAACAAAUUAGAGUGNUUAAAGCAGGCUAGCCUCGCCUGAAUACUGUGUGCAUGGAAUAAUGGRAUAGGACCUCGGUUCUAUUUUGUUGGUUUUCGGAACCCCGAGGUAAUGAUUAAUAGGGACAGAUGGGGGCAUUYGUAUUGCGACGUUAGA
rnacentral:rRNA from 1 species